CCUCGAUUAGCUCAGUUGGUAGAGCAAAUGACUGUUUGAAUCAUUGGGUCGCGAGGUUCGAGUCCUGCUCGAGGA
rnacentral:tRNA from 1 species